UACAGGGGGCUCGAGCGUUAGUCGGAAUCACUGGGCUUAAAGGGUGCGUAGGCGGUCCAUCAAGUGUUCUGUGAAAUCCCCGAGCUCAACUCGGGAACUGCAGGGCAAACUGAAGGACUUGAAGCAGGUAGGGGCUGGAAGAACAGUUGGUGGAGCGGUGAAAUGCGUAGAUAUCAACUGGAAUGCCGAUGGGGAAGCCGUCCAGCUGGGCCUGUCUUGACGCUGAGGCACAAAAGCGUGGGGAGCAAACAGG
rnacentral:rRNA from 1 species